rnacentral:rRNA from 1 species
GAUGAACGCUGGCGGCGUGCCUAACACAUGCAAGUCGAACGGUAGAUAACCUUCGGGUUAUUGAGAGUGGCGAACGGGUGAGUAACACGUAGCUAACCUGCCUUUAAGAGAGGGAUAACUAUUGGAAACAGUAGCUAAUACCUCAUAAGCUCACGAUUGGUAAGUGAUUGUGAGAAAAGCUUUAGCGCUUAAAGAUGGGGCUGCGAGCCAUCAGCUAGUUGGUGAGGUAACGGCUCACCAAGGCGACGACGGCUAGGGGACCUGAGAGGGUGACCCCCCACACUGGAACUGAGACACGGUCCAGACUUCUACGGAAGGCAGCAGUGAGGAAUAUUGCACAAUGGGCGCAAGCCUGAUGCAGCGACGCCGCGUGGGUGAAGACGGUUUUCGGACUGUAAAGCCCUUUUCUAGGUGACGAGAGUGGACGGUAGCCUAGGAAUAAGUCUCGGCUAACUACG